rnacentral:rRNA from 1 species
GCAUAUCAAUAAGCGGAGGAAAAGAAACCAACAGGGAUUCCCUUAGUAACGGCGAGUGAACCGGGAAAAGCUCAAAUUUGAAAUCUGCCAACAGGCCGAGUUGUAAUUUGUAGAUGGCUACACUGCAUAAUAGUAGAUGCUCAAGUUCUUUGGAAAAAGACAUCAUGGAGGGUGACAAUCCCGUGAGGCAUGUUACUAGGAGCAUAUAGUGGGCUUUCUAAGAGUCGAGUUGUUUGGGAAUGCAGCUCAAAGUGCGUGGUGAAUACCAUGUAAAGCUAAAUAUGGACGAGAGACCGAUAGCGAACAAGUACUGUGAAGGAAAGAUGAAAAGCACUCCGAAAGGAGAGUGAAAUAGUACGUGAAAUUGUUAAAGUGGAAGGGCUUGAGAUCAGAAUUGGUAGUUUGGGUUCCACGUCCUCUUGGGGGCGUGUACUCCCUUUCCACCGGGCCAGCGGGAGUUUCGUCUCUUGGGUAAAAGCAGUGGAAUGUAGCAGCUUGUCUGUAUUAUAGCCUCUGUUCAUACAAGACGUCGAGACUUGAUUUGUUGGCGUAAUGAUCUCUAGCCACCCGUCUUGAAACACGGACCAAGGAGUCUAUUGCCUAUGCGAGUGUUUGGGUGGAAAACCCUUGCGCGUAAUGAAAGUGAAAAGAUCAGGGCUCUUUUUUGAGUGCACGAUCGACCGAUCUUGACGAUUUUCAGAUGGAUUUGAGUAAGAGCAUAGUUGAUGGGACCCGAAAGAUGGUGAACUAUACUUGGCGAGGGCGAAGCCAGAGGAAACUCUGGUGGAGGUCCGUAGGGGUUCUGACGUGCAAAUCGAUCCUCUCAGCUGAGUAUGGGGCGAAAGAC